UACGUAGGGUGCAAGCGUUGUCCGGAAUUAUUGGGCGUAAAGAGCUCGUAGGCGGUUUGUUGCGUCGGCUGUGAAAUCCCGAGGCUCAACCUCGGGUCUGCAGUCGAUACGAGCAAACUAGAGUGUUGCAGGGGAGACUGGAAUUCCUGGUGUAGCGGUGAAAUGCGCAGAUAUCAGGAGGAACACCGGUGGCGAAGGCGGGUCUCUGGGCAACAACAUGACGCUGGAGGAAGCGAAAGCGUGGGGAGCGAACAGG
rnacentral:rRNA from 1 species